CCCUGGAUAGCUCAGUCGGUUAGAGCAUCAGACUUUCAAUCUGAGGGUCCAAGGUUCAAAAUCCCUGUUCAUGUG